AGCAUUUCAGUAGUGUAUAAGAGUGUUUCAGUAGUGUGUAUAAUAGUGUUUCAGUAGUGCGUGUGAGAGAAAAACAUUUCAGUUGUUUAUGUGAGAGCAUUUCAGUAGUGUGUCUAAGAGUGUUUUAAUAGUGUGUGUGAGAGAAAAUAUGUCAGUUGUUUAUGUGAGAGCAUUUCAGUAGUGUGUAAAAGAGUGUUUCAGUAGUGUGUGUGAGAGGAAAAAACAUUUCAGUUAUUAAUGUGAGAGCAUUUCAGUAGUGUAUGUAAGAGGUAAUUUUGAAUAAUGUCCCUAACGGCCCCUCAUACCGCACGGCCUGUGCUUUGUUUGUGUCUAUUUGCAGACAAGCUUCAGACACGCUGAUAACCUGAUCACCAGCAUGAUAAGUGACUCUGCACCCCCCCAGCAGUACUGUACAAGAUGAAUGCCCUUGCUACAAAGCUCAUGAUGACCAACCCCCCACACUCCACCCCACCUGGAAAAAAAAUGCAUGGAUUGAGCAUACGUCAACGCUGACUGCUGGUCGCAUACAACACACACAGUGGGCACGACACGAAGCUGCGAGCUGGCACAAUUAGUUGUGGUUGGUUGGCAGCGGAGGCCUGGGAGACGCACACACAUAGCACAUGGACCGAGCUUGAGUUCAAGAACUUCCAACGUGUGGCUGAUUCCUUCAAUAUGAAAGCUCAGUGGACACUUUACUAGGUACACCUGCAGGCAUGGAACCCAUCACAAAGGACACAAAGUAAAAAGCCAAAUGAAGGUUGAAUUAUUACAUUGAAAUGAAUGGCAUCAAAUAAAUCAUUGAUAUGUGUUAUGUUUUGUUUUUCCGGAUACAAUCGUUCCUCACCACGUCAUCACGUGGUAGGACUAAAUUGAGCAUUUCCAAGCAUAAAAUGACCAAAUAAACUAAAACUAUCAAUACUGCACAGUAAAAAAUUUACCAAUUUUAAAGCAUUUUUUUUACAAUAAAGUUCCGUAAUCAAAACUAACUGUAACAUCACAACAAGUGACUCUAAGAAUUGUCAUACCCUUUUAUUUCACAGUAAAAUAUUAUACAUGCCACUGUUAGGUAAUGCAGUUAUGAGCCGGAAAAUUUGCAGUGAAUUUAUAAUGAACAUUUUUAAAGCAUGGCCACUAGAUGAGACCAAACUGAUCAGUAUUGUGGCCACUGAUUGAAUCAGAAUAUAUAUAUAUAUAUAUAUAUAUAUAUA